UUUCCCCUCUUUUAAGAAAUUUCAAAUAUUUUCUCUUAAGUCUUUUUGAUGUGUAAAAUCUCUAAAAAAAGAAUUUUGACAAUAUGAAGGAUGGAGAAGGAAGAACUAUCUAGUAGUUUCUUCUCUCGUCUAACUAAUCACUCUAAUAUUUGAAUUCUUAGAUGAUCUGGACUAGCCCAUCAUGGGUAGGCCAAUUAGAUUCAAAACCUAUCAUCUCUCACUUGCAUAUC
rnacentral:lncRNA from 1 species